rnacentral:rRNA from 2 species
AACGAACGCUGGCGGCAUGCCUAACACAUGCAAGUCGAACGCUAUUUAUAGAGUGGCGCACGGGUGAGUAACGCGUGGGAACCUGCCUUUUUCUGCGGGAUAACGGUUGGAAACGGCCGCUAAUACCGCAUACGCCCUACGGGGGAAAGGUCCGCCGGAAAAAGAGGGGCCCGCGUCUGAUUAGCUAGUUGGUAGGGUAAUGGCCUACCAAGGCGACGAUCAGUAGCUGGUCUGAGAGGAUGAUCAGCCACACUGGGACUGAGACACGGCCCAGACUCC